rnacentral:rRNA from 1 species
GAUGAACGCUGGCGGCGUGCCUAAUACAUGCAAGUCGAGCGAACAGAUAAGGAGCUUGCUCCUUUGACGUUAGCGGCGGACGGGUGAGUAACACGUGGGUAACCUACCUAUAAGACUGGGAUAACUUCGGGAAACCGGAGCUAAUACCGGAUAAUAUUUCGAACCGCAUGGUUCGAUAGUGAAAGAUGGUUUUGCUAUCACUUAUAGAUGGACCCGCGCCGUAUUAGCUAGUUGGUAAGGUAACGGCUUACCAAGGCGACGAUACGUAGCCGACCUGAGAGGGUGAUCGGCCACACUGGAACUGAGACACGGUCCAGACUCCUACGGGAGGCAGCAGUAGGGAAUCUUCCGCAAUGGGCGAAAGCCUGACGGAGCAACGCCGCGUGAGUGAUGAAGGUCUUCGGAUCGUAAAACUAUGUUAUUAGGGAAGAACAUACGUGUAAGUAACUGUGCACGUCUUGACGGUACCUAAUCAGAAAGCCACGGCUAACUACGUG